rnacentral:rRNA from 1 species
UGAACGCUGGCGGCGUGCCUAAUACAUGCAAGUCGAGCGAACGGACGAGAAGCUUGCUUCUCUGAUGUUAGCGGCGGACGGGUGAGUAACACGUGGAUAACCUACCUAUAAGACUGGGAUAACUUCGGGAAACCGGAGCUAAUACCGGAUAAUAUUUUGAACCGCAUGGUUCAAAAGUGAAAGACGGUCUUGCUGUCACUUAUAGAUGGAUCCGCGCUGCAUUAGCUAGUUGGUAAGGUAACGGCUUACCAAGGCAACGAUGCAUAGCCGACCUGAGAGGGUGAUCGGCCACACUGGAACUGAGACACGGUCCAGACUCCUACGGGAGGCAGCAGUAGGGAAUCUUCCGCAGUGGGCGAAAGCCUGACGGAGCAACGCCGCGUGAGUGAUGAAGGUCUUCGGAUCGUAAAACUCUGUUAUUAGGGAAGAACAUAUGUGUAAGUAACUGUGCACAUCUUGACGGUACCUAAUCAGAAAGCCACGGCUAACUACGU